rnacentral:lncRNA from 1 species
UCUUCACUUGUCUUCCAACUCAGCUAUGAAAAUUUUACAGUGACAACACCCAUCACAUUAUUCUAAUGAUCUUACUAUCUCUGUGUGUCCAGCUCUCCUUGAAGAGAGAGCUGGGUUUUUGUUUUUGUUUUUUUUUCUAGAAAUCUCCAGCAUCCAGCACAGGGCCACCCAAAGUGUGUGCUCGUACAUAUUGAACAACGAACAGUACAAAUAAACAUGAGAUACGUGUCUGAGAGAAGACAGAAAAUUUGAAAGAGAUGAUAUGAAGACUUAGUUCAAAAUGGAAAAAGAGUAAUGAUAAGGGUAGAGUUCCAGCUCCAGAAUACAGAACUGUUUGAGAAUUGUCAACAGGAUGCCCCAUCAUCCCAUAUUUCAUGCCAACAGCAAAGACAUUCUUCUACAUAAGUACAAUAUAACCCUUUAAAAUUUAACAGGGGUAAGGGAU